GACGAACGCUGGCGGCGUGCUUAACACAUGCAAGUCGAACGGAAAGGCCCCUUUGGGGGUACUCGAGUGGCGAACGGGUGAGUAACACGUGAGUAACCUGCCCUUGACUUCGGGAUAACUUCAGGAAACUGGGGCUAAUACCGGAUAGGAAUCAUUGCUGCAUGGUGGGGGUUGGAAAGCUUCGGCGGUUUUGGAUGGACUCACGGCUUAUCAGCUUGUUGGUGGGGUAGUGGCUUACCAAGGCUUUGACGGGUAGCCGGCCUGAGAGGGCGACCGGCCACAUUGGGACUGAGAUACGGCCCAGACUCCUACGGGAGGCAGCAGUGGGGAAUAUUGCACAAUGGGCGGAAGCCUGAUGCAGCAACGCCGCGUGCGGGAUGACGGCCUUCGGGUUGUAAACCGCUUUCAGCAGGGGCGAAGCUUGUGGUGACGGUACCUGCAGAAGAAGCACCGGCUAACUACGUG
rnacentral:rRNA from 1 species